UAGAGUUUGAUCCUGGCUCAGAUUGAACGCUGGCGGCAUGCCUUACACAUGCAAGUCGAACGGCAGCGGGGACUUCGGUCCGCCGGCGAGUGGCGAACGGGUGAGUAAUGUAUCGGAACGUACCUUUCAGUGGGGGAUAACGUAGCGAAAGUUACGCUAAUACCGCAUAUUCUGUGAGCAGGAAAGCAGGGGAUCGCAAGACCUUGCGCUGAUUGAGCGGCCGAUAUCAGAUUAGCUAGUUGGUGAGGUAAAGGCUCACCAAGGCGACGAUCUGUAGCGGGUCUGAGAGGAUGAUCCGCCACACUGGAACUGAGACACGGUCCAGACUCCUACGGGAGGCAGCAGUGGGGAAUUUUGGACAAUGGGGGCAACCCUGAUCCAGCCAUGCCGCGUGAGUGAAGAAGGCCUUCGGGUUGUAAAGCUCUUUCGGCCGGGAAGAAAUCGCAUGGGUUAAUACCCUGUGUGGAUGACGGUACCGGAAUAAGAAGCACCGGCUAACUACGUGCCAGCAGCCGCGGUAAUACGUAGGGUGCGAGCGUUAAUCGGAAUUACUGGGCGUAAAGCGUGCGCAGGCGGUUUAGUAAGACAGGCGUGAAAUCCCCGGGCUCAACCUGGGAACUGCGCUUGUGACUGCUAAGCUAGAGUACGGCAGAGGGGGGUGGAAUUCCACGUGUAGCAGUGAAAUGCGUAGAGAUGUGGAGGAACACCGAUGGCGAAGGCAGCCCCCUGGGCCGAUACUGACGCUCAUGCACGAAAGCGUGGGU
rnacentral:rRNA from 1 species